rnacentral:rRNA from 1 species
AAAUUGAAGAGUUUGAUCAUGGCUCAGAUUGAACGCUGGCGGCAGGCCUAACACAUGCAAGUCGAACGGUAACAGGAAGCAGCUUGCUGCUUCGCUGACGAGUGGCGGACGGGUGAGUAAUGUCUGGGAAACUGCCUGAUGGAGGGGGAUAACUACUGGAAACGGUGGCUAAUACCGCAUAACGUCGCAAGACCAAAGAGGGGGAUCUUCGGGCCUCUUGCCAUCAGAUGUGCCCAGAUGGGAUUAGCUUGUUGGUGAGGUAACGGCUCACCAAGGCGACGAUCCCUAGCUGGUCUGAGAGGAUGACCAGCCACACUGGAACUGAGACACGGUCCAGACUCCUACGGGAGGCAGCAGUGGGGAAUAUUGCACAAUGGGCGCAAGCCUGAUGCAGCCAUGCCGCGUGUAUGAAGAAGGCCUUCGGGUUGUAAAGUACUUUCAGCGGGGAGGAAGGUGUUGCGGUUAAUAACCGCAGCAAUUGACGUUACCCGCAGAAGAAGCACCGGCUAACUCCGUGCCAGCAGCCGCGGUAAUACGGAGG